CUGACUUAAAGCGGGCUCCUAGAAAAGAAAGUUUUGAAACAGCUCAGAAAUCUCAGAAACUUACCUCAUUUGCGUCCGUGUCGAUUACACAUUUUACUAAUCGAAUUGUUUCUUGUUAAAUUUAUAAAAAGUUAUUAUUAUUAUUAUUAUUUUUACCGCUCAAAUGCUAAAAACACUUGCGCAUGUAGCAGCAGUAUGUGAGCUUGAGGUAAACCUAGCGCGCCUGGUUUAAAAUCAAGUGCUGAAAAAAAGUGGGGAAAAAAAACGCUCUCACUGACUGCUGUUAUUGCAUUACAACAAAAUAGCCUUUAAUAAUGCCUGUGACAAAAGAAGAAUGUACUGAAAUCAUUGUCAUGGCUGGAUUAGGAAGCUGUGGUAAAGUUGCGAUGGACUUUAACAGGAAACAAGAGCCAAAAGCGUGGCAGGAUUUCAUCAAGUUGAAUCACAUAUAAGCCCUACACUGCAGGGCUAAAUCAUCAGAGAUACACAAGUCUCAUGAGGAAAAAUGAUCAAGGAAUGCACUCACAAAGUAGAUUAUUUAAUAAAGUCUUUAUUUGUAC